GGGGAUGAUCGGUUUCGACAUUGCCUGUUCAAUUGCGAGAAGCGGGUCGAGGAUUCAGGGUUAUCUCGUAAACGAUCUCUGAAAAACAAUAAGUGCCAAUUCAAAGCGCACUGACUUCGCCCUCGCUGCCUAAGCGAGCGCACUAAAGAAGUCCGUCAGACCGGGAAUGCUCUCUACCCGGACCCUGGCGCCAUUUAGAGAGAUUGCUUCUACAUUGAGCCGCGGGGUGUAGAGGGACUUAAACGAGGGCUGGGCUUGUCGGAGUAGGUGCCAGUGGCAAAUUCCGGAGCCGAGUAGAACGACUUAACUGGCUACACCCGUAGAAGGCGCAUGACUACAGCAGUGGACCCGGGUUCAAUUCCCGGCAUCUCCACCA
rfam:Microterricola viridarii strain ERGS5:02, complete genome.